UGGGCUCAAUGUGGGUUUCCAUGGUUUUACGAUUUUGCCCUUCUUUUUAAAAAGCAGAUGCACCGUUGUUUGUUGCUGAGCUCAACCUAUUAUCCACUGGAUCCAAUCUAAGACGUGCAGUAGCAGAGAAAAUCACAUCAAUUGAAGGAAAAAGAUGAAAACUUUUAUGGGAUGCAAAUGCAAGUACUUGUGGAUAUAUUCCAUCCUUUUCUGUCCUCCAAAGAGUGAGGAAGAAAAGGAAGAACAACCUCUGUGAAAUUUGUGGAGGAUGGCAAAA